AUAGGUUAAUGAGGCGAACCGGGGGAACUGAAACAUCUAAGUACCCCGAGGAAAAGAAAUCAACCGAGAUUCCCCCAGUAGCGGCGAGCGAACGGGGAGGAGCCCAGAGCCUGAAUCAGCAUGUGUGUUAGUGGAAGCGUCUGGAAAGGCGCGCGAUACAGGGUGACAGCCCCGUACACAAAAGCGCAUAUGCUGUGAGCUCGAUGAGUAGGGCGGGACACGUGGUAUCCUGUCUGAAUAUGGGGGGACCAUCCUCCAAGGCUAAAUACUCCUGACUGACCGAUAGUGAACCAGUACCGUGAGGGAAAGGCGAAAAGAACCCCGGCGAGGGGAGUGAAACAGAACCUGAAACCGUGUACGUACAAGCAGUGGGAGCACAGGUUUACCUGUGUGACUGCGUACCUUUUGUAUAAUG
rnacentral:rRNA from 1 species